rnacentral:rRNA from 1 species
UACGUAGGCAGCGAGCGUUGUUCGGAGUUACUGGGCGUAAAGGGUGUGUAGGCGGUUUUCUAAGUUUGGUGUGAAAUCUCCCGGCUCAACCGGGAGGGUGCGCCGAAAACUGGGAGACUAGAGUGCGGGAUGGGAGAGUAGAAUUCCCGGUGUAGCGGUGAAAUGCGCAGAUAUCGGGAGGAACACCUAUGGCGAAGGCAGCUCGCUGGGACGUUACUGACGCUGAGACGCGAAAGCGUGGGGAGCAAACAGG